AACGAACGCUGGCGGCAUGCCUAACACAUGCAAGUCGAACGAGACCUUCGGGUCUAGUGGCGCACGGGUGCGUAACACGUGGGAAUCUGCCCUUCGGUUCGGAAUAACAGUUAGAAAUGACUGCUAAUACCGGAUGAUGACGUAAGUCCAAAGAUUUAUCGCCCAGGGAUGAGCCCGCGUAGGAUUAGCUAGUUGGUGAGGUAAAGGCUCACCAAGGCGACGAUCCUUAGCUGGUCUGAGAGGAUGAUCAGCCACACUGGGACUGAGACACGGCCCAGACUCCUACGGGAGGCAGCAGUAGGGAAUAUUGGACAAUGGGGGCAACCCUGAUCCAGCAAUGCCGCGUGAGUGAUGAAGGCCUUAGGGUUGUAAAGCUCUUUUACCCGGGAUGAUAAUGACAGUACCGGGAGAAUAAGCCCCGGCUAACUCCGUGCCAGCCGCCGCAGUAA
rnacentral:rRNA from 1 species